CAUAGGUUAAUGAGGCGAACCGGGGGAACUGAAACAUCUAAGUACCCCGAGGAAAAGAAAUCAACCGAGAUUCCCCCAGUAGCGGCGAGCGAACGGGGAGCAGCCCAGAGCCUGAAUCAGUAUGUGUGUUAGUGGAAGCGUCUGGAAAGGCGCGCGAUACAGGGUGACAGCCCCGUACACAAAAAUGCACAUGCUGUGAGCUCGAUGAGUAGGGCGGGACACGUGGUAUCCUGUCUGAAUAUGGGGGGACCAUCCUCCAAGGCUAAAUACUCCUGACUGACCGAUAGUGAACCAGUACCGUGAGGGAAAGGCGAAAAGAACCCCGGCGAGGGGAGUGAAAAAGAACCUGAAACCGUGUACGUACAAGCAGUGGGAGCACGCUUAGGCGUGUGACUGCGUACCUUUUGUAUAAUGGGUCAGCGACUUAUAUUCUGUAGCAAGGUUAACCGAAUAGGGGAGCCGAAGGGAAACCGAGUCUUAACUGGGCGUUAAGUUGCAGGGUAUAGACCCGAAACCCGGUGAUCUAGCCAUGGGCAGGUUGAAGGUUGGGUAACACUAACUGGAGGACCGAACCGACUAAUGUUGAAAAAUUAGCGGAUGACUUGUGGCUGGGGGUGAAAGGCCAAUCAAACCGGGAGAUAGCUGGUUCUCCCCGAAAGCUAUUUAGGUAGCGCCUCGUGAAUUCAUCUCCGGGGGUAGAGCACUGUUUCGGCAAGGGGGUCAUCCCGACUUACCAACCCGAUGCAAACUGCGAAUACCGGAGAAUGUUAUCACGGGAGACACACGGCGGGUGCUAACGUCCGUCGUGAAGAGGGAAACAACCCAGACCGCCAGCUAAGGUCCCAAAGUCAUGGUUAAGUGGGAAACGAUGUGGGAAGGCCCAGACAGCCAGGAUGUUGGCUUAGAAGCAGCCAUCAUUUAAAGAAAGCGUAAUAGCUCACUGGUCGAGUCGGCCUGCGCGGAAGAUGUAACGGGGCUAAACCAUGCACCGAAGCUGCGGCAGCGACGCUGAUGCGUUGUUGGGUAGGGGAGCGUUCUGUAAGCCUGCGAAGGUGUGCUGUGAGGCAUGCUGGAGGUAUCAGAAGUGCGAAUGCUGACAUAAGUAACGAUAAAGCGGGUGAAAAGCCCGCUCGCCGGAAGACCAAGGGUUCCUGUCCAACGUUAAUCGGGGCAGGGUGAGUCGACCCCUAAGGCGAGGCCGAAAGGCGUAGUCGAUGGGAAACAGGUUAAUAUUCCUGUACUUGGUGUUACUGCGAAGGGGGGACGGAGAAGGCUAUGUUGGCCGGGCGACGGUUGUCCCGGUU
rnacentral:rRNA from 1 species